ensembl:lncRNA
CCGGGCGUGGUGGCGGUCGCCUGUAGUCCCAGCUACUCCGGAGGCUGAGGCAAGAGAAUGGUGUGAACCCGUGAGGCGGAGCUUGCAGUGAGCCAAGAUCGCGCCACUGCACUCCAGCCUGGUCAACAGCGCGAGACUCCAUCUCAAAAAAAAAAAGUGUGUAAAAUAACCAAUCAGAUGUAACUGAUGCUUCCAGAAUUAUAAAAAUGAGGAUGGGGUGGGGGUGCGGUGAGGGGUAGGGAAGAAGGCAAAUACACACAUAUCACAUAAUUUUUGUAUUUCCUAUCAUCACCCGGAAUGGAUAAUAAAGGCUAUACUUAAAACAGGCAAAGAAAGACAGAGUUGUGCUUUUUUCUGGGUAAGUCUUAUGUUUGAAAGACUGUUUUUGUUCCAUUUACUGAGUUGACUAUCAUAAAUAAUGUCUUUUCUUUAAAGAACUUAGCCAUCAUGAUUUCCUUUUCUUAUGACCAUUCAAUGGGAGAAGAUUCUCAACAUUCCCUGGUCAAGAUGAUGUGCGUUAAGCCUGUGUAAGAAAACUUGCCUUCAGGAGUCAGAAGAACCCAAGGAUUAAUGUCUUAAGUUAACCCUAGUGUAGUUUAAAAAUUAAGAAGCAAACAAAAAACAAACAAACAAACAAACAAACAAACAGGCCACUCUGAUUUUAUUCCUGGAACCAGUAUCUCUGCUGACCUUAUUAAACCCUGUUAUGAAACAGGUCUGAGAUGCUGCUUUUUUUAAACAUCAGGGGCUAUUUUAAAAAGAAGUUUAGCAACCUGGGACAUUAGAGAAAAGUUAAAAUAUCAAAGACCUGUGCCCAAUUCCCUUGCCUGGCAUUCCUCACUCUGGCUUCUAGAAAUCUGCUGGAAAAAAGUACAAGCAGAAUUCAUUUCAAGACACCUGCUGGAAGAAAAGCCCUGAACUUUAUUUUAUAAAUGGGAGGUGGGGGGUGCAGGGGCGGUGAAAACACUUAAGUUUAGAACUUUUAUCAACGUCAGAGGAUAGAGAUUAUGCAUGUUACAUGACCAAAUGUAGAACAUACAGAAACACCAAGAGCAACUAUUAUUUAGGUAAGAGGUUUCAAAAUUCAUUUAGUGACUAGCUAACUUCAUUCAAACAGAUAGGGAAAGUUAUUUUUUUUAUUUUUUAUUUUUUUCCUGGCUUGAGUUGUCCUGAAAAUUGCUUCUGCAAGGAAAGAGUCCAGGAAAAAAAUUGGCAAUUCUUUUUUUCUUAAUCUAAUAUCAAAUUUACAGAUUCCUGGCCCUUAUUUUACUUAACGUUUGUUCCUUUCAGUUUACUCUUUGUGAUCGGCACAGGAUAAAUGAAAAUCAACCAUAUAAUCAAACUCUAUCAUUACUUGUGUACAUUCAACAAAUAAAAAUUUCUAUAUGCAUGCAGGAUUGUCACUGGCCCAUGAAUUAGAAUCCCACCUCCCUUUCAUCCUGAACCCCAUCCCAACAUUAAAGGGCAGAGGAGAGGAAUAAAGAUGCUCAAGGUCAUUUUCAUUUUUUAAAGCCUUCAAAAACCCGAAAUUUACCAGGAUUUAAGAGAGAAAAACUGCUCCCAUUGUCAUUUUUUCAAAAAUGUAAGUACCCUACCACUUUAAGACUUUUUCAAAUUUCAAAUUCGGGGCGGUGAAACAGUCCUAGCCUUACCCAACACAGGUUGAAGACUUUUAUACAGUGCAUUUCAUGUCCUUGUAAUAAAAACAGCGAUUCAAACAAAUAAAAUAGUCAAUAUGACUUUGUUCUCUCUAUGUAUUACAGUAAAAAAUGCUUUCUUUUCAGAUCUGUGAGAACUGCAAAGGUUUAAGCACAACAAAUCCCAAGAAAAAUGUAAAUGGAACAAAUCUAAAGCACGUAUGAGUUUUUACUCAUGUGGCCCUCCCAGGCUUCAGGCACUGUAAAUAGAUUUGUUGUGCUUUUAGUGGGAAGAUAUUCAGAAUUUAACUAGGUUCAACAAAACUACACACUCCACCACCACUCACACAAAAAGACUCCUAAAAAUGUCUACAGAAAAAAAAACUACCUUAAUAUUACUCCAAAUUUCAAUGAAAAGAUUCUUCCAACACACAAUCAACCAUGGCAUUAUCUUAGAUCAAGGUCACAAAAAUAAGCCCUUGGCCUACAAUUAUGUUGUGGCUCUAGAACGUUCUUAACAAGCUUUCCGUGAUACUUCUUUCCUCUAUUAAGCAGUCUAGGACCCUCUCUAUAUCUUUUCUGAAACCAUGAGGAUCUUGUCUGAAUAGACCUGUGUACAUAAAAGAUGCUAACUAUUCUCACUUGAUAUACAGUACUUUUACAGUUCCAUCCAUAGAGACUCUGAGUUGAGAAGACUGGCAUACCACACAGGAUUAGGAAGUGCUUUAAUCUAAAAAUGAUAGGCAGAAUACAAAUCAGAAUUCAAGCAGCCUGAGCCACUGUUCAUGAUGAUGGAAAGAUAAGUGGAGACAAAGGGAGCUAAAUCACUUUCCAGGAAAAAUGAGACAAAACCGUCCCAAGCACUCUACAUAACCCAACCCCAUUUGUGUCACCUGCCUUUGAAAAUAGAAUGUUAUGCAUAGUCAUCUCUUCAGUUCUAGGCUGCUCAAGCGAGUACUUCUUGAGCAGUACUUUUUCUUGAGGAAAAAGUAGAAAGGCUUGGGAACUGGGGGCCUGCCUCACUACUACUGAAAUAGCCUUCCCACAGAACCUUCCCAUACAUGAUACACAGCAUGCAAAAUUACAAUUAUUGAAAAAUCAACAAUAAUUGCAAAAAGCCAUCUGAGAAACAUAACAUUUUAAUAGAUGAAAUAAAUACUCCAGUACAUGCAAGGUAAAAACUUGACGUUGGGGGAAAAAAAAUCACUCUAUAGUGUAAAUUAAAAAAACACACACUCACAGUAGCUUCCCCCCAUUUGCAAAUCACAUGGCAAAUUCAUACCCUUUCCACACUAAGUAUACUCCUAAUUCAACACGAUUGCUUAAAAAAAAAAAAAAAGACAUACAAAAAAGGUAGCUACAUCCAUGUCUAAGGAGUGAAAACUGAGGUAACCUUUCUUUUAAUUAAAAACACAAAAAAAUGAAAUGAACCCAUGACCUCCUUCCUGCCCAAUAAUCAAACUUAGUUGAGAAAUUCCGGAAGACGGGCUGGGGUAGGGGGCGGGAGUGAUAACGCAACCAGAUGACACAUUUUCCAUCUUCCAGUCCCUACUGCGUGGG